GAUGGAUGGCAACAUAGUGCCCAACAAAAACAAAAACAAGCCAGUCACCUGUUGGUUGAAAAAGAGCAUGACAUGUUAGCAAAGUCCAGACCGGUUCCGUACGAUUUGGGUAAAAUCACUAUCUCCCAACCCUUGUUCAGCUUGAAACAUUCAAAGCAUCACAAAAUUUCUAUCACCCGUCCCUUACGGUAGACAUGCAAAGGAAUAUGCAACUAGAUGGUGGCUAUAAAAGGCCUCGAACUCUCUCUCAACAACCACAAUAACCUUAAAACACCUUGGGCCUAUCAGAACCUUAGCUAUGUCAUCUCCAAAAUUCCUCUCCACCCUUCUUCUGUUUCUAAUCCUUUCAUUUCUUCUUGCCUUGGCAUCAGCUUCACUUGCAUCCCAAGGGAGGG
rnacentral:lncRNA from 1 species